UAUCUCUCCGUACGGGGAAGGAUGAGAAGCUUCGACUAAGGUUCGAUUCGAGCGCAGCGAGAAAACGUUGCCGCAGGCAACGACCCGAAGGGUGAGGAGCGGAGCGACGAGUAAUCCUUCCCCCACCACCA
rnacentral:sRNA from 1 species